rnacentral:rRNA from 1 species
GAACGCGAAGAACCUUACCAGGCCUUGACAUCCCUUGCAAAGCUGUAGAGAUACAGUAGAGGUUAUCAAGGAGACAGGUGGUGCAUGGUUGUCGUCAGCUCGUGUCGUGAGAUGUUGGGUUAAGUCCCGCAACGAGCGCAACCCUUGCCUUCAGUUACCAGCAUUCAGUUGGGGACUCUGGAGGGACUGCCGGUGAUAAACCGGAGGAAGGUGGGGAUGACGUCAAAUCAUCAUGCCCCUUAUGGCCUGGGCUACACACGUACUACAAUGGCUGUUACAACGUGCAGCGACCUAGCGAUAGGAAGCGAAUCACUAAAAGACAGUCUCAGUUCGGAUUGAAGUCUGCAACUCGACUUCAUGAAGCUGGAAUCGCUAGUAAUCGCGGAUCAGAAUGCCGCGGUGAAUACGUUCUCGGGUCUUGUACACACC